UGACCUCAGUAUCUAGUAUCUACUAAGGGAAUAAGUUUAUGCUCCCUUACUUUCCUAUGUGGACACACAGCCAGGAUCACAAUCUGACCCAUAGAGAUUACUAUAUUAAAGGCUGUAUCCUGCAGCUCUUAGGGAGUCACUGGGAAUCUUGCAUAAGGACUGCAGAAUUGUACUCUAAAUGUCUGACUCACUUUUGAAAUAUUGCUGGAAAUCUCAAAUGGGUGAAAUUCAGCUCUGUGCUCUCAGCAAAGGAUCUGCACAUUUAAAACAUUGUGAGGCCUUAAAUUGAACAUAGGUUCUCUGUGUUGGUUCUCUGUAGAAGGGUGAAUGUCACUCUGACAUGAAUAUGGAGCCUGAUUCUGUGUCCAAUGAACAUGGUGGUAAACCUCUCAUUGAUGCCAAUAGGAGCAAAAUUAGACUAAUGAUUAAACUUCUAUUUCAUAAGGUGUAAUAAGUGUUUUCUGUUUUAAAAUGUCUCUUAAAUGAAUUGUUUUUAACGUUUUUUAAAUAGGGAUUGGUACUUUAUUAUCAGGAAAAGUAUGUGCUUUCAACAUUUAAACACUCUCUUGUUAGAAAUUUCCUCUUAAAUUCUGCCUGCAAAAAAGUUUAGCAUCGACAGAUUGCUAGAUGCAAAUAGUUUUAUAACUGUCUUAAUUUAUAUUUUCAUUGGCCAAGAUUUUUUCAGAAAUGGGUGCCUAAAGUUAAGCUCAAAACUUGUAUUUAGGUCCCAAAAUAAAAGUCUUUGUGUCUUUGUUUUUUCUCCAAAAAGUGCUGAGCAUGUAGUGGCUCUAGGGAUUGCUAAAACUUUUGUUCAUCUUGGCUUUUUGGCUUGCUUGUUUUUUUUAUGUACAGUGUAGGUGUGUUUUGCUGCAUGAACAAUGCCAACACCUUCAUUGGUGGGGGAGAGUGGAAGUAUGAAAAAAUGUGUUUUUGAAGGUGCUUAAGAGUGUGUGUUGCUUUGUAAUGUAGAAGCAAAGCAGCAGUCUUCACUGGAAAUGAAAAUAAGCAAUUUAGUGCUAGAAAACGUUGUAAUUAAUGGCUUAUGUCAUUCAUGAGGUGUUUUUACUUCAGCUCUGUAACAGACUGAGGAUUCUAAUAAAUGGAUAUAUAAGUGGAUUUAGAUUGAAACGUAUAUUUGCAUACACAUAUGGAGCAGCAUUCCAGAUCAAAUAUUUCAUUCUUAAGUGUGAAAUAUUUUCCUUUCAUGGUGAGAUUUAAGCUUCAUAAUGAAUUUGUCACACAAUUUGUUAAUUUUGAAAAACUUUUAAUAUACUGGGGAGAAAAGAAAUGUUAUGAGGUUCUUGCCUGGCUUUUUAACACUAAUUUAUGGAGAAUCUACUACUUGGGCUACUUCUGUGUGACUUGUGCUGCAGUGCAGCUAAGUGAGAGCGUACAUAGUAAUGGCGAUUUUAGCCCCCUGCUGCAGCAAAGCAACUCUUAAGCAGACUUGGGCGGGUAUAUGGAUGUUUGUUGUAAAUCUAAAAUUCUGUCACUUUUGAAAUUCAUUCCUGUAAUAUUGACAUUAAAUUUUGAUCCUUUAUAAAACUCAGUAUGAUUUAUCAAUUUUAUAUCUGUGACUACUAAUAAGCCAAUUACAAAAGACUCUUGAGGAUUUACUUGUACUUUGACCUGUUCUUCUGCACUAUCCAGAAUUAUAUGGAUGCAGUGAUUGACUGUUGUAAUAUUGUAACAGUCUUAAUUUUUUGGGGAACUAUAUAUAGACAUACUGUCUGUAUAAAUUUUUCAUAAGUAUUCCAUGGCUGAUAGUCUGGAAAAUA